UACGUAGGGUGCGAGCGUUGUCCGGAAUUAUUGGGCGUAAAGAGCUCGUAGGCGGCUUGUCGCGUCGGAUGUGAAAGCCCGGGGCUUAACUCCGGGUCUGCAUUCGAUACGGGCAGGCUAGAGUUCGGUAGGGGAGACUGGAAUUCCUGGUGUAGCGGUGAAAUGCGCAGAUAUCAGGAGGAACACCAGUGGCGAAGGCGGCUCACUGGUCCGGUACUGACGCUGAGGUGCGAAAGCGUGGGGAGCAAACAGG
rnacentral:rRNA from 1 species